rnacentral:lncRNA from 1 species
CGCACAACCGCAAGUGCUUCGACUGCGACCAGCGCGGCCCCCCACCUACGUGAACAUGACGGUCGGCUCGUUCGUGUGCACCUCUUGCUCCGGCAGCCUGCUAUCCUUGGAACAAGUGAAGGUUCAUAUGGAGAUGUCACAGAGGAGUUGAUGUCUGAGGAAAGGUCAUCAAAGAGAAGUCCCAAGUAGCAGCAACUUUGUGUGGUAGAAGAUUGGGGUGCUUAGCGAGGUGACCAACCCUGCUUUUUCUUUUGCCUCUAAAAGCCGUGGGAUUAAUACUGAAAAUAGCAGUUUUCUCUCUCAAGUAUGAAAUAGAAUAAAAGCUUCUGAUGCAGAUUUGUUUUCCAUACAAGAGACAGGGCUUCAUACAAUGUCAGACACACUGUAGGUGCACAGUGGGUGUUACUAACAAGAGGGAGAAGGGAAUAAAAGACACUGUGAGAAGCACCUCGAUCAGAGUCCAUCAGAUCCUUUCAGGCUGUGACCUCAAUCCUGACUCAAAUGGACUCAAAAGAUGGAGGCCAUUUGCUGAAAGGGUUUAAAUGAUAUUUUUAUUUUCCUCAUAUUAGAAAAGAUGGUUGCCUAAAUGGAGUCUCAAGCUGUACUUGAGUAUAGCUGUGUUAGUCAGUCACUGUCCAGUGUUCUCACUGCAUGCUGUCCUCACACGAGCACAAGGAUCCUUAGAGUUAUAAAGAAAGCAUGGAUGCUGCAGUGUGGCCCUGAAGUGUCUGCUGGAGCAUUUGGAGAGACUGUAGCUCCUGAGGAUUUGUGUCUCUGGAAAGCCAUAAUGCUAGAAGACAACUUAGGAAGAGUGAUUGCGUAUUUCUUAUGUAGACAGCAUGGUGUAAUGGAAAGAGUACGUUAUGUACAUGCUGGCAUGCAUUCAUCCUCUUGGCUUACGAUUUAAAUUGGUGAUGACAACAUUGUGUGCUCAUGGAUGUUAAGUGGGAGUGACACAUGGGCUGUCUUAACUUUUUGAAUACACCGUAUUUGAGGAAGGGGCAAUCAGUGUAGGUACAAGGAUGCAGUAAGGUUGCCAUUGCCUGACUUCUCUAGAGGGGUCACUGUAUCGGUAAACAAUGCCUGUCAUGAGUUCCAUACUUUAAGAUGAUAGAUAUAAUAACAUACUUUAUCCCUCAGUAAUGACUUGGUUUAGAUGAAGCCACCUUUUUUUUAAAAUUUAUUUUUAUUGGAUAUUUUAUGUAUUUACAUUUCAAAUGUUAUUCUCUCCCCCCUUCCCCCUCCCCAUUUUUCCCUUUUUGUUGGGACUACUAGAUUCAAAGCUAAUCCUAUUUUUUUCCUUUCCAGAUUUCUGUCUUCUAUACUCAAAUGGUGCUCAUUCAGAGCACGAUUCUGAAACUUUUAAAGAGACUCGCAAUGUAGAUGUAGUUCAGUGUUUGUUAGGGAAACCAGGCAUGUUGUGACUUUCUGGUUUGUUUCUCUCUUUUAUAGAAUACUUAAGUUAUGGACAGGUAAUCAAAUCAUAUAAAUUACAGACAGUAAAAAUUUGUCUUUAUGGGACUGGAUUAUAAACUCCUAGGCUGGAGGCCCUGGGUGGUUUAAUCUCUAGAAUUGAGACUAGGGUUGGUUGUAAUUACCUUUUGUUGUUGGAGACAAGAUUUCCUGUAACCCAGGUUGCCCUCAAACUCACUGUAGUGUAAUGGAUGGCUUUGAACUCCUGAUCCUGCUAGCACUGCUUCCCAAGUGCUGGGUUCACAGGCGCGUACUGCCAUGCCUGGCUUAUGCUGCACUGGGAACAAAUAAAUACUCUUAUCUCCUGAGCUGCAGCCUACUUUUUGUUUUUGUUAUUUUGAGACAGGGUCUUUUGUGUAGCCCGCACUGGCUGUAAACCAGAGGUAGUCCUCCUGCCUCAGUCUCCUGAGUUUGGGAUAAUGGUAAGGACUGUUUGGGAUGAAAUUGCUUUGUGGAGACUGUAAAGAGUAGAAUCAGAAAGUAACACAGGAUUGCUUUUUUUCUUAAACAUGUAUGUAUUUGUUAUAUGUAAGUACAUUGUAGCUGUCUUCAGGCACACCAGGAAAACAUCGGAUCCCAUUACAGAUGGUUGGGAGCCACCAUGUGGUUGCUGGGAAUUGAACUCAGGACCUCUGGAAGAGCAGUCAGUGCUCUUAACCACUGAGCCACCUCUCCAGACUAUGGGAUUGCUUUAUUUUGAAUUGUUCAGUGAAGGCUUAGGCAAAAUAAAAAGAACAUCUGAGAGACAGUUUGCUUCUCUACCCGAGUGAGCGCACUCUUCCUCAGCCCCCCCUCCUCAUCCCUCAGUGGUCCACCAUACAGCUAGGAUGGCUUUCAAGUUACCAUAUUUAGUUCUUAGCCUCUGAGAUUACAAUAUUUGCUGCCAUGUCUGGUUCCAGGCAACUUUACUUAAUACAGGAUUUAACUGGAUGGAGGGCUCAUCUUGAAUGCCCGUUUUAGACAUUGCAUGGAGCUUUUCCAAAGGGAAGUCAAAACAAGGAUUCAUGCAGUAUGUGGCUUAAGGGACAAGCACAUCUGGACUGGUCUUUCUGAGUGACACAUGAUCCUCAUAUGUAUGAGACACUGGUAAAGAAAGCUUUGGGACUGGGCAUCUACCCCUUGCAGUAGCUUGCCGUUGGGCACUUCCCAUUUCAGAUGGCUGAAAUGCAGUGAGGUUCUCUAAAGUGUUCGUGGAACGAUGAGUCAUUCCUAAGAAGAUGUAUUACUUUAUAUUGGUGAUAGGGAACUUUGAAUUGUUUAAAAUACAGGGAAUGAUGUCUAUUUCAAAAGGUUGAAGGUGCCGG